GAUGAACGCUGGCGGCGUGCCUAAUACAUGCAAGUCGAGCGAACGGACGAGAAGCUUGCUUCUCUGAUGUUAGCGGCGGACGGGUGAGUAACACGUGGAUAACCUACCUAUAAGACUGGGAUAACUUCGGGAAACCGGAGCUAAUACCGGAUAAUAUUUUGAACCGCAUGGUUCAAAAAUGAAAGACGGUCUUGCUGUCACUUGUAGAUGGAUCCGCGCUGCAUUAGCUAGUUGGUAAGGUAACGGCUUACCAAGGCAACGAUGCAUAGCCGACCUGAGAGGGUGAUCGGCCACACUGGAACUGAGACACGGUCCAGACUCCUACGGGAGGCAUCAGUAGGGAAUCUUCCGCAAUGGGCGAAAGCCUGACGGAGCAACGCCGCGUGAGUGAUGAAGGUCUUCGGAUCGUAAAACUCUGUUAUUAGGGAAGAACAUAUGUGUAAGUAACUGUGCACAUCUUGACGGUACCUAAUCAGAAAGCCACGGCUAACUACGUG
rnacentral:rRNA from 1 species